AAUAGAUACCCCGGUAGUCCACGCCGUAAACGAUGUCGACUUGGAGGUUGUUCCCUUGAGGAGUGGCUUCCGGAGCUAACGCGUUAAGUCGACCGCCUGGGGAGUACGGCCGCAAGGUUAAAACUCAAAUGAAUUGACGGGGGCCCGCACAAGCGGUGGAGCAUGUGGUUUAAUUCGAUGCAACGCGAAGAACCUUACCUACUCUUGACAUCCAGAGAACUUAGCAGAGAUGCUUUCGGUGCCUUCGGGAACUCUGAGACAGGUGCUGCAUGGCUGUCGUCAGCUCGUGUUGUGAAAUGUUGGGUUAAGUCCCGCAACGAGCGCAACCCUUAUCCUUUGUUGCCAGCGGUUCGGCCGGGAACUCAAAGGAGACUGCCAGUGAUAAACUGGAGGAGGGUGGGGAUGACGUCAAGUCAUCAUGGCCCUUACGAGUAGGGCUACACACGUGCUACAAUGGCAUAUAACAAAGAGAAGCGACCUCGCGAGAGCAAGCGGACCUCAUAAAGUAUGUCGUAGUCCGGAUUGGAGU
rnacentral:rRNA from 1 species